CAGCUGGCCCAGUCUGUGUGGAGGUAGAAAACUCACCCUAACUCUGGGCUACCCCUUCUAGUGGCAGCCCACACAAAAGGACAUGGAGACUUUUGCUUCUUGCCCAGGCAUCCUCUUGCUGAGACAUCCCUUCUCUGAAAUAGCCUAUGAACAACAGUUUCUUCUCCCAAAACCUCAAUUCAAUUGAUUGCCUCAGAAAGGCCGUCAGAACAUCACUUGGAGGCACAGGUCAGUGGCACACUUAAUGCCUUUGCCCUGGGGUCAAUCCCCAACACUGGAGAGGGGAGAGACAAAAACAAAAAACUACAAAUCAAAACUUAAACACUGCCAUCUCACUCCCUGCACAACUACUGGACUCAGCAGGCAGCAAGUUCAAAUUUCUGCCCACAAAAAUCAGCUGGUCAGUACUAAAUCUGUUGUCAGCCAGACUCCUCUCUGCUCGUCUCUUUGCAGUUCUUCCAUCAGCGAAUCCCAGGCUGAUGGGCAUCUUUCAGGGCACAGUGAAAUUAGAAGGAGCAGUAGUCAGUCAGGUUCUAGUCACCUCUCCUCCACCAGCUGGCCAGCUGGGAAACUAUCUCCAGCCUCGCUCCCGGCUUUAUCUUCUUCUUCCUUAAAACAUUGCUCGCAGUUGCACAGAACAAUGACUACAGUGUCCAUUAACCUGAGAAGUGGUUUGAGCCUGACAUCUUUCCUGAGCUAAAAAUGAGAAAAAGCAGAGCUACGGCCUUCCUGCCACAGGGUCAAGAGAGGGAAAGCUCUGAAGGGCAGCGCUGGGAAGCAAUGAACUCUCCUCAAGACGAGGGACAAGAGGGAUGUGCUGCAGCCGAGGGUACAAAACAGAAAGAUAGCCUGGGGUCAAGGACAGUGGAGAGGAAGGACAGGUUUAUUUUCCCCUUCGGAACUUCCCUGCUCCCCCAGUCUUUGCUUUCUUCUUAGCAGGCCCCUUGGGUUCUGGCUCCUUGCGCUUAGCUGAGGAGAGUGAGCCUGUCACCUUGAAGAAAUCAUCGAGGCGUCCCUGGGUGCUGCCCUGGCGGCUCUUACUCAGCCGCUUGACCCCACUGCGAAUUCGCUCUUCAGAAAACUGCUUUUCACCACACAUAAAUUUGACCAACUCUUCUUCAUUUGGCUCGCUCCACUUCAGCUCCACAGACUCUGGGUCCAGUACUUCUGGCUCCAGGAAGAGCUGCUGGGCUUCCUUGUGGAGCCAGUUCUCUGGAACGGGGUACUUGCUGGGGUCCAGCCGCCUCACGAUCUCCUCGAUGCUCUUAUGUUUCUGGAUGAGAUCCACAGCCCGCUUGGGCCCAAUGCCACGGAUGCUCUCGCAGUAGUCGCUACCCAGCAGGAUGCACAGAUCCACAAACUGCUCCUGGUUCAGACCCAGCUCCUGCAGGACGCGGCUCAGGUGGAACUCUUGGAUGGGCAGCUUCUUGGCCUCACUGGCAGUUAAGUGUCGCAUUAGCACAGGGCUGCCAAAAGUGAGGCAGUCCAUGUCCUCCGUGGCCGCAGCAUAGACUUUGCCAGCCUUUGCCAGGGCAGCACAGCUGGCCUCUGCCUCGCUGGGUGCAUCAAGGUAAGGGAUGCCCAUGAGGCUCAGCAGGUGUUUGCACUCAUCAUUGUGUUGCUUGGUGACCUUCACGAGCCUCUUGGUGAACUUCUCCACCUCCUCCUCCAUCCCAGCCUCCUGAGCCUGCUGCAGUUGCUUCUCAGCCUCAGCGCGCCUCUCACUGCGCUUGGCCAGCUCGCCUGACUUCAGCUGUGGUGGUUUGCCAUCAAAGACGUACACAGGCUUGAUGCCAUUCUCCAUCAUGCGGAUGGUACGGUAGAACAUGCCCAUCAGGUGGCUGGUGGUCUCACCCUCCUCGUUCUGCAGCACAUCCCCACCCUGACGAACAGCAAUCAGGAACUGGUAGAUGCUCAUGGAGGCAUCGAUGGCCACUUUGCGACCAAAGUAGCUCUUGAUGUCAUUCUCACGGAUGGCACUGGGGGCCACAUCAGCAAUUAGUUUGGCAAGGCCGUGAAUUCCCAUGGUAGCACAGGAGCAAUGGCUAAAACAAAGAAAGAAGAGUAAGAGGAGGAACUUGGAGGAUACAAAAGGAACAAAAGUUUUAAGUGGCAACAUUCACCAGUCUCAUGGUUCAUCAAACUUAACAUGAGACACAGCAGGACUCCAAGCCAGCAGAGCAGAAGAGGCACAGGUGAACAAGAUCCACCAUUCUCAAGCAGGCCUCCUGACAAUCAGAAGCUGCUCUGGGCGCUUCAAGGAAUGAGAUCUGGGAUGUUCUUGUUUUUUGUUUUUUUUUUGUUUUCCGAGACAGGGUUUCUCUGUGUAGCCCUGGCUGUCCUGGAACUCACUCUGUAGACCAGGCUGGCCUUGAACUCAGNNNNNNNNNNNNNNNNNNNNNNNNNNGCCUGCCUCUGCCUCCCGAGUGCUGGGAUUAAAGGCGUGUGCCACCACACCUGGCAUGGGAUGUUCUUGAAUAACUUAAGGGCUCUGAAUAACGCAAUGGCACCAUCUGUCACAGAGUGACUUCAACUUUAACCUGCAUUAAGGAUCACAGAAGACAGAGUGCUUGGCUCAGCUUGAAGGGCCCUGAGAUCAUCAAGGCAGACGUGAACCCUUAGGAGCAGGUAAGUACCAGCUAUGCGAAUAUGACUAUGUCUGAUUUAUUGCUUCUCCACAGAUGUCUAACCGAUGCAGCAGACCUGAGGGGUACACCUCUGCAUGAGGACCAGGUGGCCACCUCACUGCUGCUACUCUUCCCUUCCCAUCUCCCUUAGCACUUGAGGGUCUGUUUUUAUCAGGAUGCCAGAGGAGUUUUAAGUCCUCCUCUUUGUACUCUCUUCCCCCCUAAGUCUGAUCGCCAUGACUUCCCAGAUCCUGAAUUGAGGGCUGGCAUGCUGGAUUCACACAGUCCAAUACUGCAUGCACUUCUGUGGUACUUCCAUCAAAUCACUCCUAGGGAAGCAUUUUCAAAACUACCCUCACAAUUUUUGGCUCCUCCAAUUGAAACAUUAAUUUUCCUUUUAUCUAAUUAUUUUUCUUUAAAUGGACUUUCAAGAAAAAAAAAUUGGGGGUUAGGGGGCAAAAAAACUAGUUGUGAGUGAUGGUGCAUGCCUUUAAUCCCAGCACCUGGAAGGCACAGGCAAGUGGAUCUCUAAGUUCGAGGCCAGCCUACUCUACACAGCAAGUCCCAGGCCAGCCAGAGUUACAUAGUUGAGACCCUGUCUCAAAAACAAACAGAAAAUUAAGUUGGGAAAGAGAAUCCAUUUUAAACAAAAAUAUCUGCAUUGUGUCAGUCAAGUCAUAUUAAUGUGUUAAAUGUACAAUAAAAGGAUUUUCUAAUAUGCAA
ensembl:processed_transcript Gm10143 predicted gene 10143